CUUCUCCCGCGAACCCACACUCACAAAGAGCCGAGGGGAGAGAGGGUGCGCAGACGGCCAGCGCGGCCGUGCCAGGGACAUACUGGAGACAGGAAGUGGCUGAGAGGGGGAGAGAGAGUUAGAGAGAGACGGCCACGGAGGACACGGGGACGGGAAAGUCUGAGAGACGGGGAGAGCCUGACCCGGCGGGACACAGGCAAAAAGAAACACGCGAGCCAGGCAGACGCAGCAGAAACGUGCCUGGUACUGGAUAGGAACUUCAUGGAAUGGAGCUAAUGGGCCGUACGUAGGGCAGGUUUGAGUCUUGCCACCCUGGAGCGGAAGGUGGAGAGUAGGGAUAAGGGGGUGGAGCACCUGAUUCCAAUCUUGCCGCAGGGAAGAAGAGUCUGUGAAGAAGUGCGUGAUGACUGUGUGUCCCCCCAACCCAGAAAUUGGCAUUUGGGAGGGGUGGAUAUGGUUGGGACUGGGGAGCCUUGAUCUUACUGCUCUUGGUUGAGUUGGUGUCCAAUAGACAGUUUUAGAGGUUAGAGCAGUGGGAGUCACUGGGGACUGGGGACGGGAGAGGUGGGGGUGGGGGAGGCCAGGCAGGAAUGAGUAGGGAGGCACUGGGAGGAGGGGAGAGGCAAGAGUUAGGGGAAUACCGAGGAGAGUGGCAGGGAUUGGAGGCUCCUGGAGAAAGGGCAAGGCUGAAGGUUGUCCCAUGUAUUUUGGCCAGAUUUGAUUAUGUAAUCGAGAUACACGAGAUAAUUAAGUGUGUUCAUGUCUCUGGAGCCUUCAACCAGCUCUUUUAACAUCUUGCUCUUCCCAGCAUUCCUUAGGGUCUUUGGCUGGGCUCUGGAAUGGAUGCCGUGGGAGUACCUUUACCUAAGCUCUAAAGUUACCAAUAGAGAGACUGGGACUCAAAGAGGAACUUGAUUGGACCCCAGAGAGGUGAGGGGUAAGGGUUAGAACCUCACACAUGCUGGUUUUGCUGCUGCCUGGCAGGCCCAUGGGAAGAACUUUAGAGGUUCCAAGGAAUUGGAAAAGGGUCACAAGAUGGGUGGCCAAACUCCCAGCUCAGGCUUGAUUCCUACUCUCAAUGUGGGGAUAGUGGGGAAGGGAGCUGCAGGAGGGAAGCUGAUGAGAAAAGCUGAGAAUGAGAAGUUAUACAGGAGGUAGCUUGGUGGGAGUGAAACAAAAAUGAGUGGUUCAUGGGCCAGCCAGGCAUCCUGAUUUCCAGCUCACAGCAGCAGGAGCUUCAGAGAGGAAGGGGAGGAGGAGAAAGCCCAGUUGAUGUUAGUAAAGGUCAAUUUCAGGAGCACCUCUGACCUCCCUCCACACAGGUUUUCUUACCUUGACUAUGCAGAGGGUGGUCCAUCUUGGCACUGAAGGUGGAACCCCCUCUUCCAUGGUCUGGGGUGACCCCAUGCCUGUAACUGAAUGUGCUCAGAUCCUUGGGGUGCGGGGACUGUAGGGGGAGGAUUUGAAGGUGUGGGACUGUCCUGGCUGGAGACCACUGGGUCAAGAGAACUCCAGUAGAGGGUUUGGGUGCUGGGAACCAGGAAGAGUGGGGGAAGGGGCAGAGCCAACUCCAGAGGCGGAUCUCCUGGCUGAGGACAGAGGGUGUAUUGUCCAAGCAGGAGGUUGCUGCAGCUGGGCAGGGAGCAGCUCAGCUCGCCUCUUCCAAAUUUCUUUUGGGGGAGGGUAAGGGAAGGCAAGCCCCCCUUUACUUGUGGCCCUGGGGGCUACAAUGGUUGCUGAGAAACAAGGCUUAUUUGACAAAUAAUGCUUCCCAGGAGCAGAUGUGUAGCUCUCUCACUUCCUGAGAAACCAGAUGCUGUGAGCUCGCUUAGCACUUGAGGCGACGCCCUCAGCACGAACUGGGACCCUAGUGCCUUGGGAUCCAGAGUAUAGUACUUGAUUCUAUUGAGAAGAAACGAGGCUAAUGUGGACUGGGAGACACACGGGACCUAACCAGCCUCAAGUUAGCCCUUUUGAAGUAGGAUGCUGCACCUGCACUUUCCCCCUACUUGUCCAGUAGUUCAAGAUUUACAAGAUGUUGGCAAUGAGGGCUGACCAGUCCUGGGUCCAUUCCUGCAGCUGGGGGGCUUCUGGGUGGACCCACACUUUUUUUUUGACAGGGUCUUGCUCUGUUGCCCAGGCUGGAGUGUAGUGGUGUGAUCACAGCUCACUGCAGCCUUGACCUCCUGGGUUCAAGUGAUCUUUCCUCCCAAGUAGCUGCGACUAUGGGCAUACACCACCAUACCUGGAUAAUUUUUCUAUUUUUUUUGUAGAGACAGGGUGUUGUCAUGUUGCCCUGACUGGUCUCAAACUCCUAGGCUCAAGCGAUUCUCCUGCCUUAUCCUCCCAAAGUGCUGGGAUUACAGGUGUGAGCAACCAUGCACGGCUAACACACCUUUUUUUUUUUUUUUUUUUUUUUUGAGACAGAGUCUCGCUCUGUCACCCAGGCUGGAAGUGCAGUGGUGCGAUCCCGGUCCACUGCAACCUCCACUUCCUGGGUUCAAGCGAUUCUUCUGCCUCAGCCUCCUGAGUAGCUGGGACUACAGGUGUGCACCACCACACCUGGCUAAUUUUUGUAUUUUUAGUAGAGACGGGGUUUCACCAUAUUGGCCAGGCUGGUCUAGAACUCCUGACCACAUGAUCUGCCUGCCUUGGCCUCCUGACAUGCUGGGAUUACAGCUGUGAGCCAUGGCACCUGGCCACACACAUCUUUUUAAAUUUAAAUGAGGAUGUGGCCAUAUUAGAGCCCAGGUUUUCUCUGACUUUUAGAGUACCUUUUGGGACAUAGGGCCUUCCUCUCUACCCUUUCUGUACACAGCCAUCAUGAACCUUUCAACAAGCCUUUCCUGUUUUUAUGUUCCUUCUUUCCAUCAUUUACCUAGACCUCAUUAUUGCACAGCUUAGAGUGGCUUGAAACAAAGGCUUGGAGAAUGUGAGUGAAACUGAUUCCUGUGGUGGAGAGGCAGUGAAAAAGCAUUACCUUGUAGGUUCCCAGGCAGCCUGGACAAUAGGGGGACCUAAACCCACAUUGAAAAGCCUUCACAGCUGAGUCUCAUAGCCCUCAACUUUACCAGUUUUGGAGAACAGAGAUAAAUGCACUGGCCAGAAACUAGAAGAGCAGCUGCUCCAGUUGGCUGGGAAAUGUCAUUUGUAUUAACUGACUCAUCUUGGCUCUUAAAUCCCCAAAAUUGUUGACUGAGGCUUCCCGGGCUCCUUUCUAUGUAUGCUCCACCUCCUUGUGACAUUAGGGAUUCUCUGCCACCGUCCUAACCCCUUUCCUGCCUUGCAACAAUGACCAGUCUGUCCCUAGCUGUUUGGAAAAUUCCCACUGAGUCUGUGAGCCUCUGUUCUGGUAACCUCGACCAGCCUGCCACCAGUAUCAUCUCUGGUCCACCAGUGCGGUGUGACUCCAGGGAGCAGCAUCUCUCCAAAUUGCUGAAGUGAGGGAGGGAGAUUAUGAGGGAACUGCCCCAAGGACACAAGGAUUCAUUCUUAGAGUUCCCACAACUUGAUUAAAAUAAACAGUACAGGAAAUAGACUGCAGGCAUUCAGGUGAUUAAAAAAUUUAACACCAGGGGAAAAAAAAAGAAGCCAGAGGGGAGCUGGGAUACAAACUCUAUCAUUGGGCCUCAAUAACACUGGAACAGAUUCCCUUGUAACCCCACCCUCUGAUCUUGGACAAUAUGGUAUCCAAUACUGAAUGAAAACUUCAGAGAUGGUAGGGGAAGGAGGAGCGGGUGGUCAAUGACUCCAGUAAAAACCACUGGGAGUGCAGAGUAUAUGUCAAAGAAUUUCAGCAUUACAAUGAACUUUAAAGAUCAGAUUUAUUUGGAGAAAACAAAAAACCCACAACCCAAAGGAUGGGAUUUUACAUCAAGACAUCUCCCAGGUAAUAAGUCUACAGAUUACAAAUCAUUUUCAUAGAAGAUAUUUUUGUACAAAUUUUACAUGUAUUCAGGAGCGGGACAUUAAUCAAUCCCUGUUUCUAUUUUAAUAGGGGAGACAAGGUAGGGGAGAGGGAAAAACAGUUUUGGAUAUAACUGUUUGGAAGGAGAGUAGACAUGAAGAGGGCAAACCCUAGCUUUUCAUUAUCUACAAUCAAUAGUUUUUUUUUCUUUAAAAAAAAAAAAAUCUUCAACACUCUUUAAAAGCCCACUUCUUAGCUACUGGCCAAUCCACACCAAUUAUUUAAAUUCACUUAGUACACACCUUUGUCCACUGGGUAAAUUAUAUUCAUUAUGCCCACUGCUGCAGCACGCAUAAACCAACACCCCUGCAUGGCUGAACAGGGCCUAAUCUAGGACUGAUGGGAGAAGGGCUUGCAAACCAAGAUCAAGGUGUCGUUUCUCUGCUAAUACUGUCUACCAAGCUGAUCCCUACAAAAAUGCAUAUAAAAGCAGGCAAGUUUAGCUACUGUGUUGCAAGAGAAACCAGAACCUUGUUAAAUAGUUCUCUCCAUUACCAUUUAUUCUCUCAAGGGAAGCUUAAAAAAAAAACAAAAAACAACACAUUGGUCUGGCCACCUCAUGAAUCCAACAAGCAUUGGUGUGGCAUUUCAGUGGAGAAAGAAACUUGGGGGAAAAACCCCAUCAAGGUUGUAAGAAAGGCUCCCAAUUUAACUGUCCCUGUCCCUAUUUAUCCGCCAUCCAAGACCAUCCAUUAUUCUAGAGCACUCUGAUCUAUAAAAGGGGUCAAAGCAGGAGCAGGCAAGGAGUGAGAACCAAAAGUCAUCAAGAAACCGAUUUGCUUAAGAAAAGCAGCGAUUCUUCCUUUCACAGCUCUCCAUGGCUGAGAGAAAAUGCCCAAGACAUCAUGUAUGUGACUUAGAUACUGCUUUUUGGGAGGUUAAGAGUAGCAUGAAGAACUUAAGAUGACGAUAAGAGUCUAAAUUUUUAGUUUCAAGGUUUCAAUAGAAUGUGGAUAUAUUCAAACUUUCAAAAAGGACUGUUCAGAAAGGGUAAAACUAGGACACAGAAAACACUGGGAAUUACCACGACCCCCAAGUGCUUCCGGCUCCAGGAAAUAACCAUUCAUGUGUUUGCUGGAGGUCACACAAUUUUCCCCUAUUACCUGGUGCAAAAUGACUCAU